GGGAUGGGUGUACUACAAAAUCAUAUUGAAUGAAGUUUUGGAAACAUUUAGCUAACUUUUGAAUGAUUGUCUCACAAACUGUGAUUCAGUAUCAUGGGAUUUUACACUUUUCUGGAGAAGUUGUGGCUCUGAUAGUGCCAUUACAUUCAUUGUUUAUAUAUAUUGCUUUUAAACAUUGCUCACUUAUAAAAUCUUUCAAUUACUUAAUUUCAUCCCAUGAUACUGAAUCACAGUUUGUAAGGCCCCGUUUACAUGAGACCGGGAUGAAAACCACAAAAUUUUCAAUUUAUUCCCCUUGCCAGGCAGAGGCGUAGCCAGCUCGAUAAGUGGGGGGGGGGG